GUGACGGUACCUGCAGAAAAAGCACCGGCUAACUAYGUGCCAGCAGCCGCGGUAAUACRUAGGGUGCAAGCGUUGUCCGGAAUUAUUGGGCGUAAAGAGCUCGUAGGYGGUUUGUCNCGUCKGMUGUGAAAAUCCNNGGCUCAACCNNGGACCUGCANUSGRUACGGGCANACUAGAGUGNGGUAGGGGAGAYKGGAAUUCCUGGUGUAGCGGUGGAAUGCGCAGAUAUCAGGAGGAACACCAAUGGCGAAGGCACNUCUCUGGGCCGUNACUGACRCUGAGGAGCGAAAGCGUGGGGAGCGAACAGGAUUAGAUACCCUGGUAGUCCACGCCGUAAACGGUGGGUGCUAGUUGUGGGCCACAUUCCACGUGGUCCGUGACGAAGUUAACACAUUAAGCACCCCGCCUGGGGAGUACGGUCGCAAGACUAAAACUCAAAUGAAAUUGACG
rnacentral:rRNA from 1 species